rnacentral:lncRNA from 1 species
GUCUGCAUCCAAGCAUCCCUGUGCUUUCCCUGUGAGCUGGCAGUCCCCACUAUGAGAUUCUAGCCUGGGAAUGUGCUAUAGGGAAGCUUACAGCAGCAGAUCAUAGAAAAGCAAAAUAGAAAUGUGAAAGGAAAAUAAAAACUUGGGACCCCUACUCCCUCCGCCAAAAGAAAAAAAAAAUGCUGAAAGUGGAGUCAUGCAAGAAGCUGCCUUUCCCUUUGUUCCUAAGCAGAUAGAGACAGAUAAAAGGUUAAAGAUCUCCACUCUGCAUUCACCUUAUCUUGUGUGAAGAGUCGAGUUACUGAGCAUGGGACGAACACAUAACUGACCAUUCCCCUACAUGCUCCUUUUCUUUUGCAACAUUUGGAUUCAGUAAUGUGACCAUACCCUCCCUCUGUCCCCUCCAGCUGGCUUUUUCCUUUAAAUACUGAAGCCCUCGAAAUCAUCUUUGGAGAAAGGCACAGACCUGUCUCCCAAGACGUGUCCUUAAUCUUGGCAAAGUAAACUUCUAAGUUGAUCGAGGCUUGUCUCAGAUAUUUUCAGGUUUACAGAAAGAAAUUCAAUUUCAGUCACAAACGGAAUGAUAAAAUAAGUUGUUACGCAUCCAUAGAAAGAAGAUAUUAACAUGAUGAACUUUCAAAUCAGCUUCUCAAGUGUCAACAUCCUGUUGCGAUUUUCAUUGAUAUUGAACUGAAUUUAUAGAUUUUGUAAGCAGAAAAAAAUUAUUUUAAUUUUUUGAGAAAAAAAGUUUUAAAUGGUUUGUUUUCAGACUGUGUCAAGAUAUCCCUACCUCCGAAGUUGUCAGGUUUGCGGACCUUGGGGUGAAGCGUGGGGCUGCUGGAGGCGUCCAGCCCUGACUGUGUGUCCAGGACAAUGAGCCCCGAAGUGAGCGGGCCGCGUCCUGUUGGCGCAGCCAACUUCACGCCCUCUGUCCAGGGAGGACUAAGGGACAAGCUGCAGCAGGCGCAGAGGACGCUGUUGGUGUCCGGGAGGCCGCUGGUACAGGGCGUUGGGCGUGGCUCCUUUCCAAGUGCCUUGCACUUUCCAGGCUGGGCUGCAGAAGCAGGCUCGGGGGCGACUCGCGUGGGGACUGAAGCAGCCAGCCUUGGCACCUGCCCACAGCAAAUAACUGCCUUGACUUGAUCUGGUUUUUUUGAAGAAAGGUUUAUUCAUACCCAUUAUGUGCGCAUGUGUAAAUUCAAACCCACGGCUUGCCGGAGCCUGGGCUUUCUCGAACAUCAGUUGCUCCCAUGCUACCAUUUUGCAGUUUGCCCGUCUCCAGUAGAUGAUUUCUGAAUAUUUUAAUCAACUCAUUAUUAACCAUUCACACGUCUACCUUAGCCUCAUUUUAAGCAAUUGCACCUGUGGGUUUCACAGGCCUGCUGUAUUUUUAGUACAUAUUAAAUAAAGCAUGUCUGUUGGGGCGUGCUGUGCUUGCCCA